rnacentral:rRNA from 2 species
AGGAGUGGAGCCUGCGGCUUAAUUUGACUCAACACGGGAAACCUCACCAGGCCCGGACACCGGAAGGAUUGACAGAUUGAGAGCUCUUUCUUGAUUCGGUGGGUGGUGGUGCAUGGCCGUUCUUAGUUGGUGGAGCGAUUUGUCUGGUUAAUUCCGAUAACGAACGAGACUCUAGCCUGUUAACUAGGCGUAUUUCCGACAUCUCAAAGGCCCGCCGGCCCGGCGCGCGCCGCGGUCGCGCGCGGUUUUUACUGUCGGCGUACAAAUUAUUCUUCUUAGAGGGACAGGCGGCUUCUAGCCGCACGAGAUUGAGCAAUAACAGGUCUGUGAUGCCCUUAGAUGUUCUGGGCCG